rnacentral:sRNA from 15 species
ACUAUUUGUGAAAUCACAGUGCGUAUGAUUGAUAUGCGCUAAGCCCGUGAUGACUUGCCAGCAAAAGGAAAUCCACACACAGAGUGGCCCCACAAUAAACAUCCCAGUAUUUCCUGUCAGCUGCAUUGGCGCAGCUGUCUCUCUCUCUCUCUGUCUCUCUGUCUCUCACUGUCUCUCUGUUACAAUAAUUGAAGACACAGAGCAGACACCAGGAGGCACUGGCAGCAUGCAACAUAAUUACUACUCAACUUCAAAGUCUCCUCUUAGACGGCCAUCGAAGCUGGCGAAGGCAACAACAAGAUUCCCAGCGAGAGAUCUAUUGUAGUGUGUGUGUGCUUCAUAAAUAAUUAAAUAUGUAUAUUAUUCUACAGUGACAUAAACAACAGCAAAAUAUACCACAAAUAUUGAAACCCCCAAGUCAUAAAAAGGCCUUGUAAAUAGCAAACAAAAAACAAACGAAAUCCAACUGAAAUUUCUUAUAUACAGCAUUGCUUUUACUACAAUUAAAUUCCAAACUCAACAAAAUAUAUAACAAGUGUCUCGAACAAAAAAAAAAACAAGCAACAACUUUUCUAAUUUAUAAAAAAAAAAACAAAACCGAAACAAAAAUCUUUAAAAAAACAAACAACGAAUGAACAGACAACGCCGUUUACACAACUCUAAAAACCAAAAACAAAAAAACAACUUGAUAGAGAAAUGCAUUGCUAAAAAACUAGAAAUUUACAAAUCCCUGUGUACCGAGGAGGAGUGGAGUGUUGGCGCCUGUAAUUUGGAAAGCAAAAAUGACGCAGCCACGCACAAGGCAACAUCCACAGCGGCAACAACAACAACAGCAGCAACAGCAGCAACAACAGCAACAAAAUAUACAACAACAUAAACAAGAACAAAAACUGCAAUUAGAGGCAACAGCUACAAAGGGCCGGCAACGAUAUAGAGCGGCAGUAGAGGCAGUCGAAGUGGCAGCUGUAGAGGAAAAAUGAGGCAAAAA